rnacentral:misc_RNA from 1 species
AAGAGUUUUCCAUAACUCCCAAACCCAUGUGAACUUACCGUACGUUGCCUCGGCAGGUCGCGACCGCCCCGUAGUACCCUACCACGUAGGAGCCUACCCGGCGGUCGCGGGGAAGCCUGUCGGUGGCCCCAACCAAAACUCUGUUUUAGUAUUGUAUUUCUGAACCUGAUAACUAAAUAUGUUA